CAUACUCUCCUAAGGAGAAAGAAUUUGAAGGAAAAAAAAAGGAGAAAGGCUGGAGACUCAGCAAAGACAUUUUCAUGGAGUGAAAAUUCUCAAGUUAUCAACGAAGAGACCAACUUCAAAAAUAGGUUGUCUUUUAUCCUUUUGAUGGUGUCCUUUGCUGUGAAGUUCGACGCAAUCCCAGGAUUUUCCUCGUAAAGCAACAGAGAAUCUCUCAAUCCUGUCUACACCACGGAACUACCUUG
rnacentral:lncRNA from 1 species